UACGUAGGGUGCAGGCGUUAAUCGGAAUUACUGGGCGUAAAGCGCACGUAGGCGGACAUUUAAGUUGGAGGUGAAAGCCUUGGGCUCAACCCAAGAAUUGCCUUUGAUACUGGAUGUCUCGAGACCGGGAGAGGUGAGUGGAAUUCCGAGUGUAGAGGUGAAAUUCGUAGAUAUUCGGAAGAACACCAGUGGCGAAGGCGGCUCACUGGCCCGGUUCUGACGCUGAGGUGCGAAAGCGUGGGGAGCAAACAGG
rnacentral:rRNA from 1 species